rnacentral:rRNA from 1 species
AUGAAGCAUUUUUCAUCGUGGCAGAAACGAAAGGGGUGCCACGGCAAUGACAACGGGAAUGAUUCCACGGCAACAUUCCAGUUCCGUGAUGUGCAAAGGCCAGAACGAUUGGCGGCUGGGUUGGCUCCUCAAGGCCAUGGAGAUGGCAGGCAGCAGGAGGGUGCUAGCGGAGGCAGAGCCACGACAAGGAGGUCCUGCUCCGGCAGCUGCAAGUGGUGGACGGACGCAGGCAGCGACAAGGCUUUGAGCGUGAGGGAGAAGGAGCUGGCUCGUGGGAAGGAGAAGUAG